rnacentral:lncRNA from 13 species
GAAAAACUUUUAGUACCCUCAUAGAAAGCCAAAAUGUUCAUGAAUAUCAAGUACAACAAGAGUUAACUGUAGAAUAUUAUGCAGCAAUCAGAAAUGAUGAGUUCGUGUUGUUUGUAGGGACAUGGAUGAAUCUGGAAAACAUCAUCCUCAGCAAACUGACACAAGAACAGAAGAUGAAACACCGCAUAUUCUCACUCAUAGGUGCUAGAACAUUUGUGAUUCAUCAGAGAAGGCUGAAAUAUGAACACUGAGAAGAACUUGAAAAAAGUUUAUUCUAUCCCUCAUGGCUGACUUUGAUGCAUUCAGGCCUUCAGUGAGAAAAGAAACUGGAGAUGUGGUGGAAAUAUUAAGAUAACUAUAAUAAUGGGGCCAGAAGCUAUAGCUAAAUUACAGAAAUCUUGUGAAAUACCUGACUGGAUGAGUAGUUACUUCCUAUGGAUGAGCAAACAAGUGGUUUCUUGAGAGGGAAUCUAUUCUUUAUGAAGAUGCUAUCAACAUAGUUGAAAUAAUAACACAGGGUUUUUAAUAUUACAUAAGCUUAGUUGAUAAAGCAAUGGCAGGGUUUAAGAGGACUCACUCCAAAUGUAAAAGAAACUAUUGCAGAUAAAAAGACAUCACCUACUACAGAGCAAUA